rnacentral:rRNA from 214 species
UAACAAGGUUUCCGUAGGUGAACCUGCGGAAGGAUCAUUA